rnacentral:rRNA from 1 species
UGGGGAAUCUUGGACAAUGGGCGCAAGCCUGAUCCAGCCAUGCCGCGUGGAUGAUGAAGGCCUUAGGGUUGUAAAAUCCUUUCGUUGGGGACGAUAAUGACGGUACCCAAAGAAGAAGCUCCGGCUAACUUCGUGCCAGCAGCCGCGGUAAUACGAAGGGGGCUAGCGUUGUUCGGAUUUACUGGGCGUAAAGCGCGUGUAGGCGGACUUGUAAGUUGGGGGUGAAAUCCCGAGGCUCAACCUCGGAACUGCCUCCAAAACUACAAAUCUGGACCUAAGUAGAGGCAAGUGGAAUUGCGAGUGUAGAGGUGAAAUUCGUAGAUAUUCGCAGGAACACCAGUGGCGAAGGCGACUUGCUGGACUUAUGGUGACGCUGAGACGCGAAAGCGUGGGGAGCAAACAGGAUUAGAUACCCCCGUAGUCCCUGAGCGGGCUGG